GAUGAACGCUGGCGGCGUGCCUAAUACAUGCAAGUCGAGCGAACAGACGAGGAGCUUGCUCCUCUGACGUUAGCGGCGGACGGGUGAGUAACACGUGGAUAACCUACCUAUAAGACUGGGAUAACUUCGGGAAACCGGAGCUAAUACCGGAUAAUAUAUUGAACCGCAUGGUUCAAUAGUGAAAGACGGUUUUGCUGUCACUUAUAGAUGGAUCCGCGCCGCAUUAGCUAGUUGGUAAGGUAACGGCUUACCAAGGCAACGAUGCGUAGCCGACCUGAGAGGGUGAUCGGCCACACUGGAACUGAGACACUGUCCAGACUCCUACGGGAGGCAGCAGUAGGGAAUCUUCCGCAAUGGGCGAAAGCCUGACGGAGCAACGCCGCGUGAGUGAUGAAGGUCUUCGGAUCGUAAAACUCUGUUAUUCGGGAAGAACAAAUGUGUAAGUAACUAUGCACGUCUUGACGGUACCUAAUCAGAAAGCCACGGCUAACUACGUG
rnacentral:rRNA from 1 species